rnacentral:lncRNA from 1 species
UCUCUAUAUAAGAUUUCAUGGUUUCAAGUAAAUUGAAGUGAUAUUAUAUGUAAGUUAAAUCUUCUUUGGGGUUUUAAUUUCAAGGAUAUAUUAUUUCCACAAAAUAAACGAAAAUAAAUCCUCCACCAAAAUUUCUGCAUUUACAGCAUAUUUUCAAAAACACCUUACAAACAGAAAAAAGUGUUUUCGCUGAUAAUUGGUAUGGUCAAUUUUUUGCCAUCUAUUUUUUGGAAUCUGACAAAUGGUCAUUUGGGAAACACAAAGUUUGUGGCAUUGUCAACCUUCAAAUUAUGAACUUUAAUGUGUUGCUGGUUAAUGGAUACCAAAGGAAAACAUCUGCCAAUAUAUGAUUGAAUGUGCACACAGGUUUCUCUAACAUCUACUCCUCUUCAGAGAUUGUGUAAUUAAUCUAAAUUAUCAAAAAAAGUAUUAAUAAUCAAUAUUCAAAUCUGAGAAUUUUUCUUCCUCCAUUCUAUGAAGAAAGUCCAAAGCAAGACAUAAUUGUAUGUUAGCAUUUGUGGUUAGGUCACAGAGACAUUUGUGGUUAGGUCACAGAGACAUUUGUGGUUAGGUCACAGAGACAUUUGUGGUUAGGGUCACAGAGACAUUUGUGGUUAGGUCACAGAGACAUUUGUGGUUAGGUCACAGAGACAUUUGUGGUUAGGUCACAGAGACAAAACAUACUUAUCUCCGAAAUAUUUAAUCACCAAAAAAAUGUUUCCCUAAUAUAAUUCAUCUCCUUAUAUUAGUGAUUACUAGAAUGGCCA